CCCCAGGUCCUCCUUAUGAUGCUUCUUGUAGAUGAAAGUCACAAUGGCAAAAUUCCAAUUCCCUGAGACCUCUCUAGUUGACCAAGAAAACUGAUAGACUGUGGAAAACGUUUUGGUAAUCACCUCCACCAACUUUCUCAGCACCCACAAGCGGAUCACCUCUGUCCCCAUGAACUUGUGAUAGUCCAGUUGAAGCAUCAGAAGUUUUAUAGCAACAAGAAUUCCUGCCUUCAUUUUCAUUUUCUUGCUCCUUUCCAGGGGUCUGGCUGCUGUGCUCCAACCAGUGACAAGAUGGGGCAGUAGGGGCUGCAGAGCGACGAUGGGUCUACAGCAGUCAGCCCACCAUGGCAUUCCCAGCAUUAGGACCCUCAAGUAGGCAUUAAGAGACCACCAAUUCUGCUCAGGUUCACAGACAGUACAAGGCAGCUACAGCAGGAAGAAUCCAGCCUACAAAGCACGUGGAGUUCUGCUUGUCUAAGAGUGCUCCUUAGCCGUAGUGAGGUAUUCCAGAAGACAAGGCAACCAGGAUUGAAAAAAAAAAAAACAGUGAAAUUCAAAUAGAAGAAAAAUCCAUUUCACAAAGACAGCUGCAUGCACCAGAAAGAAGGAAGGGCAAAGAAACAGAAAGAGAUUGAGACUGACACUUGGAAAACGUACCUGGGACAAGCAGGAAGAGAACUAAAUGUUACCCUUAGCUAGAAUGGCUUUUCAGUCUGCCUGAAAACACAUCCCCAGAUAGAGUACCUAUUAGCUUUCCCCAUACCAAUAGACAGAUGGACAUGCACACAACCUUGGUGGUAAACAUGAAUGUAAGUUACAAUAGGGAGCUGAAAACUGCCAGAUCACCCUACAUUCUGCAGCUGCUCAAGCACAGUUGCAAAGACUGCAUUUCUGCAAUUGGAACAGUGAUCACAGCCAGCAGUCCUGCCAUCUGCAUUCUCUCAUGCUACAGCUGGAAAAGAAGAUACUGUAUCUGAGCAAUGUGACUGAGACAAAUAGGAAGUGACACGCUUUAGAGAACGUAUGAAUGUAUGAAGAAGGUCAUCUUAGCAUUCCUGCUUACCCUUCCUCAGAGCCUUGCCCUCAACAAAAUCGACUGACCCCAUAUUCAGAAGUGGUAAAAAGAAUGUACUUCAAUCCAGUGGAACUAAUCUGACUUCAAAGUACAAUAGGAUAUCAAAUGUUAUUGUAAGAAUAAAAAAAUUUUUCAAAGCCCAGGAGUCAGCUUAAGACAUCCAGGAAAUUCAAACCUUCAUGCUCCAGGUUAUAUAUCAAUUACUAACCGCCUGGGUUUAAAUAAAAAAAAUAAAAAAAGCUCCCCAGCAUUG